rnacentral:lncRNA from 1 species
AAAAGAAGUAGAGGAAGACGAGGCCAUUGCAAUCAAAAGCGUAAGCAACACUCAGAAAUUGAUACUAUGAAAGAAUGUUUGAAAGAUCGGGCUCGCCUAAGGAGUAACAACUAUCAAGGAGCAAAUAUAUAUAGUAGUUGUAAAGUUGCAUGAAAGUGACAGUAGGAGAAGUCAAAGCUGAUAGUACAAAUUUCAAACGUCAAACCUAACAAAACAAUCUUAUCUGUAAAUGGUAAGUGCAUAUUAUGCAUUUAUUUAGUGCUUUUUUACUUACUUAUUUAUGAGUAAUUGAACAAGUAUCAAUCUAAUAUGUGUAAAUAUGUUAAUUGUAGCUAAAUCAUCGACUUUAAAUGCAAAUGGCGUGAAAAUGGUGAAAUUGGAGUUGCUUAGAAGCAAUCGAUGAUCACUCGGGUUGCAAUUGAUCAAAUGGAAGCUUAUGGGAGCAAUCAAAAGCGAUUCACAAGUUUUGGGAGCUAAAUCCAACAUUUAAAAAGGUUAGGAACUUAAUUGAAUACCUUUGGAACUUGUAUCAGAUUGAUUAUGAAUGAUUGAGGAAUGUCAUGAACCAAAUUAAAUUGAAUUAAAGCUGAAGGACCAAGAUUCAAAGAAGAAAAGAUGCAGAUUGAACAUAAGACGAAAUAUGCAGAUCAAAUUGUACAUGCUGAAAACUUACAAGGCGAUGAUUGCAAUUCUCCAAGGACUGUGAUCAAGUAGAGCCCAAAACUGUUCAACUCUUCAAUUAAGUUAUUUUUGAGUUAAUUAUUGCCAUAGUUGAAUUUUAUUUAUUUAUUUUUUCUUUUCUUUUCUUUUUCUCUUUAGCUACUUAUUUUUCUUGGAAGACACAUAGCAUGUGAUAACAUUCAUUGUAAGGCUUAAUAGAGGCUAGGAAUAAUGUCUAACUCAUGCAUGAUCCAAUUGAUGUUCUUGUGCUUUUAAUAAUUGCUUUGUCCUUCCACUAAUGUAGUCAAUAAUGAAGCUGAGGGCCAAUCUUUUUGUUUGGCAGGGUCAGAAUGGAGAAAAUUGUUCCUCAUCUGUGAAGAAAAUAGGAGAGACCAACAAACAGAUUUCAUAUUUCGAAAUCCUCUUUCAUCUAGAUGCUUUAGAUCCCACCAAAUUUUUCCAUUUUGAUCUCGGAGGAACUUUUAUAUGGAAGUUGUACACAUCAAUGAUAUAUAUACAAGUACAUGUCUCAACAUGAAUCAUUUCUACCAUUUUCACCUUUAAAUAUAAUGAAGUUACAGUGCUGGAAACCCAUGCAGAAUCACUUAUCANNN